UACAAGCUUGCAGAUAAGCGCUUAUCAAGGCACACCAUGCCUUGGGCAUGUGCGCGACACACUCACACAUGCACACACACACACCACAUGAACACCUACAACUACCACAAGGUAUGUGGGGGGGGACCCACACACAUACUCACUCACACAGUUGCACAACCUAGUGCAUGAGCUCACACCCAUGCACAAGAGUAACACACACACAUUUAGAUCACUACCCUAGUGCAAUAACACCUACUAAUACACACACAUAUAUGGUAGCUUGCUCACGCAUACACUAGCACACAAAUACCUACACAUGCAUUUCUACACAUGCUAGCAAAAUAAUUAGAGACAACCUACUAGUUGUGAGGUAAAAAAUACCACACAAGGUGACCAAGCAAGCUGGAGCAUCAAUCUAGCAAGAAAAAGAAAAACAACAAACGAAAAUAGGCAAAAAAAUAAAAGGGCUUGGGGGAGAAUCGAACCUAGGUGCCCCUGGAUCACCCCCCAACACUAGCACCACUCGCCUAGCCUGCACUGGC
rnacentral:lncRNA from 1 species